rnacentral:pre_miRNA from 1 species
UUGCGGUGCAUUGUAGUUGCAUUGCAUGUUUGUUAUGCACAGUGCAGUGCUUCUUCAGUGCAAUCGCAA